UCCCACUCCCACUUUGGCCUUAGAGAGUUUUCAGCUAAAAAACUUCCACACUUCCCCUCUCUCUCAUUUCAGUUCCCUCUCUGCGAUUCUCUGAGUUGCAACCCCUAACCCUCUCUUUUCUUCGAUUUCCAAUUUUCAAACUUUAAGAGGUGUGUAAUUCUCCUUUCUCCAGUAUCCCGACUUGAGAUUAGGGUUCUUCAUACUGAAAAAAAAAAAAAAAAAAGAGGUUCUUCGAUUUGCUAGUUCAGGGUAUUGGGAAGAAGAGAGGCUUUGAAGCCGAUCUCAGCGACUUUCGCAACAACCAGCGGAGGCCGCCGUUCGCGAACACAGAGGAGAGAGAGAAGCGGAGGCUGGUUACGACUAAAGAGAAGGAGGUGUGAGGAGGACUAUGUUGUGAUAGAGGGGUGUGAGGUGAGGGUGAGGGAGAAUACUGGGUUAUUGAGCGUUUCCGUAAUUGUUUAUUGUGAUGACCUGUACUAAGCAAACUACUUGUAAGUCAACUUGAGGAAAGGCUUUAAGGAAGCAGCUCGCCACCAAGAGAGUCAGAGCCAAGUAGCUGCACAUUGAUAUUAUAAUGCAGCAGCGAACAAACGGGAUUAAAUUUGGAACUAUGGAAGUAGGGAAAGAUCAGACAUGUAGGCCUUGGGAUUCAUAAAUUCUUUCUAUUGAUAGACCAAAACAAUCAGGUUAAAUUUCUUUGAUUUUAAUUUAUGCUUUUGUCCAAGGACAAAAACAUGUUUUCUCACAACAAAUAUAUGGUAUCAACAGCAUGGGCAUUUACUUCCCUUAAUCUUCAAGCAUGCAUAUAAUUAACUUGCUCAAUUAUAGGUGGAGAAGAAGGAGAAGGAUAUAUAAGUUGAGUUUUGACAGUGUUGAUCUAAAUGCAAUGCUUAUUAUCUAUCAAUAUUCCUUUUGCUUUCUUCUUGAUUUAGUAUUAUAUUCUUCUUAACAUAGAAGAACAUCUAAUCCUUUUUCUAUAAUCAUCCAAAAUAAAAGAACAAAAUAAUUGUCCUGAUCAGGAAGUUGCCAUUCUAGAGGCUUAUUCGUGAAAUUUUCCAGGACUUCAAGGUAUAUAUACAUACAAUCUAUUGAUGACUCUUCAACUCAAUACAAACAUAAGCCAAAGAGGGCUCAUACAAUGUAUGAAACUAAUUGGAUUUCCUGUCAUUAAUUAUAUUAUAAAUGACACAUAAUGAUAAUGUUUAUGUUUCUUAUAAAUUUUGUUUUUGUAUUUGCAGAUUUUAAUCGACUCAAUGUCGAUAUUGGACGGUUGAAAUGUUUAUUGGACU